rnacentral:rRNA from 1 species
CUGGCGGCGUGCCUAAUACAUGCAAGUCGAACGCACUCUCGUUUAGAUUGAAGGAGCUUGCUCCUGAUUGAUAAACAUUGAGUGAGUGGCGGACGGGUGAGUAACACGUGGGUAACCUGCCCUAAAGUGGGGGAUAACAUUUGGAAACAGAUGCUAAUACCGCAUAAAACCUAACACCGCAUGGUGUAGGGUUGAAAGAUGGUUUCGGCUAUCACUUUAGGAUGGACCCGCGGUGCAUUAGUUAGUUGGUGAGGUAAAGGCUCACCAAGACCGUGAUGCAUAGCCGACCUGAGAGGGUAAUCGGCCACACUGGGACUGAGACACGGCCCAGACUCCUACGGGAGGCAGCAGUAGGGAAUCUUCCACAAUGGACGAAAGUCUGAUGGAGCAACGCCGCGUGAGUGAAGAAGGUUUCGGAUCGUAAACUCUGUUGUUGGAGAAGAAUGUAUCUGAUAGUAACUGAUCAGGUAGUGACGGUAUCCAACCAGAAAGCCACGGCUAACUACGUG